AGGCCUUCGGGUUGUAAAGCACUUUCAGUCGUGAGGAAGGUAGUGUAGUUAAUAGCUGCAUUAUUUGACGUUAGCGACAGAAGAAGCACCGGCUAACUCCGUGCCAGCAGCCGCGGUAAUACGGAGGGUGCGAGCGUUAAUCGGAAUUACUGGGCGUAAAGCGCAUGCAGGUGGUUUGUUAAGUCAGAUGUGAAAGCCCGGGGCUCAACCUCGGAAUUGCAUUUGAAACUGGCAGACUAGAGUACUGUAGAGGGGGGUAGAAUUUCAGGUGUAGCGGUGAAAUGCGUAGAGAUCUGAAGGAAUACCGGUGGCGAAGGCGGCCCCCUGGACAGAUACUGACACUCAGAUGCGAAAGCGUGGGGAGCAAACAGGAUUAGAUACCCUGGUAGUCCACGCCGUAAACGAUGUCUACUUGGAGGUUGUGGCCUUGAGCCGUGGCUUUCGGAGCUAACGCGUUAAGUAGACCGCCUGGGGAGUACGGUCGCAAGAUUAAAACUCAAAUGAAUUGACGGGGGCCCGCACAAGCGGUGGAGCAUGUGGUUUAAUUCGAUGCAACGCGAAGAACCUUACCUACUCUUGACAUCCAGAGAACUUUCCAGAGAUGGAUUGGUGCCUUCGGGAACUCUGAGACAGGUGCUGCAUGGCUGUCGUCAGCUCGUGUUGUGAAAU
rnacentral:rRNA from 1 species